GCGUGAGUGAAGAAGGCCCUAGGGUUGUAAAGCUCUUUCAGCAGGGAAGAUGAUGACGGUACCUGCAGAAGAAGCCCCGGCUAACUCCGUGCCAGCAGCCGCGGUAAUACGGAGGGGGCUAGCGUUGCUCGGAAUUACUGGGCGUAAAGGGCGCGUAGGCGGAUUAUCCAGUCAGGCGUGAAAGCCCCGGGCUCAACCUGGGAAUUGCGCUUGAUACUGAUAGUCUUGAGUUCUGGAGAGGGUGGUGGAAUUCCCAGUGUAGAGGUGAAAUUCGU
rnacentral:rRNA from 1 species